rnacentral:rRNA from 1 species
UACGAAGGGGGCUAGCGUUGCUCGGAAUUACUGGGCGUAAAGCGCACGUAGGCGGCUCUUUAAGUCGGGGGUGAAAUCCUGGAGCUCAACUCCAGAACUGCCUUCGAUACUGAAGAGCUCGAGUCCGGGAGAGGUGAGUGGAACUGCGAGUGUAGAGGUGAAAUUCGUAGAUAUUCGCAAGAACACAGUGGCGAAGGCGGCUCACUGGCCCGGUACUGACGCUGAGGUGCGAAAGCGUGGGGAGCAAACAGG